GAUGAACGCUGGCGGCGUGCUUAACACAUGCAAGUCGAACGGAAAGGCCCAAGCUUGCUUGGGUACUCGAGUGGCGAACGGGUGAGUAACACGUGGGUGAUCUGCCCUGCACUUCGGGAUAAGCCUGGGAAACUGGGUCUAAUACCGGAUAGGACGAUGGUUUGGAUGCCAUUGUGGAAAGUUUUUUCGGUGUGGGAUGAGCUCGCGGCCUAUCAGCUUGUUGGUGGGGUAAUGGCCUACCAAGGCGUCGACGGGUAGCCGGCCUGAGAGGGUGUACGGCCACAUUGGGACUGAGAUACGGCCCAGACUCCUACGGGAGGCAGCAGUGGGGAAUAUUGCACAAUGGGCGCAAGCCUGAUGCAGCGACGCCGCGUGGGGGAUGACGGCCUUCGGGUUGUAAACUCCUUUCGUUAGGGACGAAGCGUUUUUGUGACGGUACCUGGAGAAGAAGCACCGGCUAACUACGUG
rnacentral:rRNA from 1 species